AUGUGGAUAUUUCCAAAUUUGUUUGGAAAUGCUUGAAAACAAGCAGCAGAGAUCUGAGAAACACUAGCUCACUGUGGGCUUUUGUCUUUUUCUCCCUGUGCCCACCCCCAGGUAUGAAGAGGAGAUCAACAAACGCACAGCAGCUGAGAAUGACUUUGUGGUCCUCAAGAAGGACGUGGAUGCUGCCUACAUGAACAAGGUGGAGUUGGAGGCCAAGGUGGACAGUCUUAAUGACGAGAUCAACUUCCUGAAGGUCCUCUAUGAUGCGGUGAGGGCUCCAUCCUCCCCUCCAUUCAGGGAAAGGGAAUCCCCCAUCUGUGAUGCUGCUGGUUGGGAUUCACAGUUCUUUGAAAGGACUCCAGCUCCCUUAUUUUAGGGCAGUGGGUUCUCAUCAAGGUCAUGCAUAGAAAGGUUUGAAGUGGGAAAUUCAACUGGGAGAUUCUUAGGACCAGAUGUGGUCUUGGUCUUAGAAGGGGUGAUUAGAUCUAAAGAGUGCUUAGAAUAGAAUUCAUUGCUGUCUAGCAUCUUUUCUGGUGAAAUGGAUCCAUUCCCUACCCUUCCAUCCAACACACU
rnacentral:sRNA from 1 species